rnacentral:rRNA from 1 species
UCUGUUUGAUCCUGGCGGAGGUCACUGCUAUCGGUGUUCGUCUAGGCCAUGCGAGUCAUAUGUUCUUCGUGAACAUGGCGUACUGCUCAGUAACACGUGGAUAACCUGCCCUUGAGUUCGGCAUAACCCCGGGAAACUGGGGAUAAUACCGGAUAACGCAUAUAUGCUGGAAUUCUUUAUGCGUAAAAUGGAUUCGUCCGCCCAAGGAUGGGUCUGCGGCCUAUCAGGUAGUAGUGGGUGUAAUGUACCUACUAGCCGACGACGGGUACGGGUUGUGAGAGCAAGAGCCCGGAGAUGGAUUCUGAGACAUGAAUCCAGGCCCUACGGGGCGCAGCAGGCGCGAAAACUUUACAAUGCGGGAAACCGUGAUAAGGGGACACCGAGUGCCAGCAUCAUAUGCUGGCUGUCCGGGUGUGUAAAAUACACCUGUUAGCAAGGGCCGGGCAAGACCGGUGCCAGCCGCCGCGGUAACACCGGCGGCCCGAGUGGUGAUCGUGUUUAUUGGGUCUAAAGGGUCCGUAGCCGGUUUGGUCAGUCCUCCGGGAAAUCUGACGGCUUAACCGUUAGGCUUUCGGGGGAUACUGCCAGACUUGGAACCGGGAGAGGUAAGAGGUACUACAGGGGUAGGAGUGAAAUCUUGUAAUCCCUGUGGGACCACCUGUGGCGAAGGCGUCUUACCAGAACGGGUUCGACGGUGAGGGACGAAAGCUGGGGGCACGAACCGGAUUAGAUACCCGGGUAGUCCCAGCCGUAAACGAUGCUCGCUAGGUGUCAGGCAUGGCGCGACCGUGUCUGGUGCCGCAGGGAAGCCGUGAAGCGAGCCACCUGGGAAGUACGGCCGCAAGGCUGAAACUUAAAGGAAUUGGCGGGGGAGCACAACAACGGGUGGAGCCUGCGGUUUAAUUGGACUCAACGCCGGACAACUCACCGGGGGCGACAGCAAUAUGUAGGUCAGGCUGAAGACCUUGCCUGAAUCGCUGAGAGGAGGUGCAUGGCCGUCGCCAGUUCGUACUGUGAAGCAUCCUGUUAAGUCAGGCAACGAGCGAGACCCA